UACGUAGGGUGCAAGCGUUGUCCGGAAUUAUUGGGCGUAAAGAGCUCGUAGGCGGCCCUAUAAGUCAGUGGUGAAAUAUCGCAGCUUAACUGUGAGGGUGCCAUUGAUACUGUAGGGCUUGAGUGAAUUUGAGGUAGGCGGAAUUGACGGUGUAGCGGUGAAAUGCUUAGAUAUCGUCAAGAACACCGAUAGUGAAGACAGCUUACCAAGCUUCAACUGACGCUGAGGCACGAAAGUGUGGGGAUCAAACAGG
rnacentral:rRNA from 1 species